GUCAAAGUUCAGCAGCAUGGUAUGAAAAUGGGUUGUGAUGAGAGAAAGAGUGCUGUAGUGCGUGCAGAGAUACUGUGUAAAUCAGGAUGAUUCGACUGUUUUUGAAUGUUUGUUUUUAAUACCCAUUUGCUUUUACAUACACCAAAUGGAUAUUACAACUGAAAGUCAUUUUAAAUCAUCAAACCAUCACCAGACAUCCAUUUCUUUUAUUAAAUACACACCAUGAAUAGUAAGCCAACAAUAUAAUUAAUCAACCAGAGGUUUUGUUGCUGUCAUGAAAAUAAAAAUAAUAACAUUUUGGGGGGGUUUUGGGGACAAUUUAGUGCAUUGUCAUCUUAAACUGUGAAUAUUUAUCAACCCGUGUCUAAUCAGACAAUAGUUUUUUUGCACUUACAUUUACUUAAAAAAAGUAAGUCCACAUUUAAAAAAAUUGUAGGUUUAUUGGAACCUACCAGGGUUUUAAAUAGCUGGUUUUAGUAGCUGAAAUGCAAACUAACUUGCAAUGACUUUGCAAAGUUGCCAACAAAUAAUCUAAAUGUUAUCCUUUAAUCGACUUUUAUUAUAUAAUCUAGUAAAAUGCAUCCAUUGAAAAAUAGUUAGAGUAAAGGUUAACUGGUGGGAUGCACACUUGGGGAUUCAGUGACAGCGAAUAAAUGCAUUUAUCAUUUCAGGCUAAAGAGGAUUACUGUCUAAUGAAUGGUGAAGUGCUUGAUAAAAAACUUUAAAAGCUUAAAAAUGGUUGAAGUGAACAUUAACCUGGUUUUAAUUUUUCCGUCUUUUUCAUUCUUUUUGAAUUGCAGCUUUCGCUUGCUGCAUUUUUGUGUGUGUUUAUUAAUUGUGUUAAAUACAAUAACAAAGGCUACUCGAGCCACUGCUGAUCAAACUCAUCUUUAUUACACAUACUGUUUAAUGCCAAGUCCAAGAUCAACUAAUAGUGAUAUUACAGUCAAGCUUACCCUAAUGUAAUGUACUCUAAUGUUUUCACUAUCCCAGACUUUUAAAUUAAUUUAGGAAAAAACAUUAAAUAAAAUUCAACAUAAAUACUGUAGUAUGUGAAGAAAUUAAAACUGGAAAAAAUCAGCUGUUCUAACAAAUAAAUAUGCUAAAGUUCCAAUGAUGCCACAACCACCAAAGCAUAUAAUUGAGACUGAAUAGUAUGUAAGUACAAUUAAUAUGCAUGUGUGAUAUGUGUGGUAGUCUGCUUGAGUUACUGCACAUUAACUGGUAAGUUGCUUUCUUUGAAACAGGUUAACUGUGAGUGACAUUAGAAAACUAAUGAGCAAAAUCCAUAAAUUCUCUAAAUUUGUGUCAGAGGCAAUGCUUUACAAAUAAGUAGCUAAAUGACUAAACUUUACAAAAAGACUGGCAUGAAUUUCCCUUCUAGGGCAAAUUCUUAUCCCUUCUUAUUCCUAAUUAUCCAUAGAAAUUAUUAAAGUUUUUAUUAAUAGUCAUCUUAAUAGUUCACAAACAGGAUUUUCUUGAUUUUUCUAGACAAUUCCAGUUUGCUGUGAUAUGACAUGACAACCUCAUUUGUAAAAUAUUUGAAGGAAAUAUUUUAAGAGAGCUGAUCCUCAAACUGUUUUCUGAAACAGUCUCCAGCUGGGAAGAAGUCCCAACAGCGCUCCUGGUACAUCUUCCACACAUAUGACUCCUGAAAAGACACGAUAUAAGAACACAAGAGGUAAUGUGAGGCCUUGAAUGGAGCACACUAACUAAAGAAAAACUGUAAUAAAAACCUUCAG
ensembl:lncRNA